rnacentral:rRNA from 1 species
AACGAACGCUGGCGGCAGGCUUAACACAUGCAAGUCGAGCGAACAUUUAGGUGUUAGCGGCGGACGGGUGAGUAAUGCUUGCGGAUGUACCCCAUAGUAAGGGAUAACGUUUGGAAACGGGCGCUAAUACCUUAUACGUACUACGGUAGAAAGAUUUAUCGCUGUGGGAUCAUUCCAAGUCAGAUUAGUUAGUUGUAGGGGUAAAGGCUCUACAAGGCGAUGAUCUGUAGCCGGCCUGAGAGGGUGAUCGGCCACACCGGGACUGAGACACGGCCCGGACUCCUACGGGAGGCAGCAGUGGGGAAUAUUGGGCAAUGGACGCAAGUCUGACCCAGCCAUGCCGCGUGCGUGAAGAAGGCCUUAGGGUUGUAAAGCGCUUUUGUCAGGGAAGAUAAUGACUGUACCUGAAGAAUAAGCCCCGGCUAACUCCG